rnacentral:RNase_P_RNA from 1 species
AGGAGAUGGAGGGCGACCGACGGUCUUAGGCUGAGGAAAGUCCCCUCUCCAUGAGCGAAGCAGCCGUAAGGGGCCCGAGAGGGUCGGCACUGAAACAGAAACGACACAGACCCAUCUUAUGGAAUGAUCGUCUAGGACGUGACGUCGAUGGAGGAUUUGGUGAAACGAACAUCCCUGCUGGAGCAAUUCCAAGUAACCGCAGCGACCUGCUCGGGAGCGGUAGGUAGGAAGCGUAGCUAAAUGUCGCCAACCGAUUAGGUUAACAGAAAGGGGCUUACUCCCAUCACCU